CACAUUUUACAUCAGAAAGUAAAUCUUUGUACAACCUGCUUAACCCAAAGGAAGAUCUUCCUUUCAUGGUUUAUGCUGAACCUUUCAGAAGCCCAAUAAAAUGCAGCAUUUGGAGUUCAGUGGAGUAUUUAAAUCAAUCACAAAGUGUUGUACUUCCACUGAACGGGUUGACCCCUCAGAGCACCAACAGCUGCUGCUCAACAACCCGAUGCACUACAGGUACGUCCAUCUGGUCCUCAACAACGUCAGGACUGUGAGGACCCCCCAGACCCAAGCGGCCCCCUCUAAUCUGACGCUCAGCAGCCCAGUGUGUGUGUGUGUGUGUGUGUGUGUGU